GGUAUCAAUAUUGUAUUCCUCAACGCAGAAUCUUUCAAAGAUGUUUUUGGUGCAAGAGAUGGACAUCUUGGUUGAUGUUUUUGAUAAGAAAAAUGUUAUGUGAAAGGUUUUUUCUAGCAGGUUUGGGGAUUUCUUCUUGGCAAGGUAGUUAUAUAUAUAGUGAUGAAGCUAUAUAGGACCUUUAUAGCACAACUUGCUCCAACCCAAUUGCUUAUCUUUUUUUCUUAGAGAAAAAAUGUUGAAUUCGGCAGGGAAAGGUUAACGGCUUAAAGCAGAGUCAGUGCGCCAUUUGCAGAAACCAAAAUGGUUUAAAUGGGAGAAGCAACAAUGGUGAGCAAGAAGCGAAAAACACGGAACAGAGUAGUGUGUGAUAUGGAAAGAUCUUAAGAGAUGAGACAAAACUUAAGUGGUAAACAUUGAGCUUUUGAGGUAGAAAUGCUCAUGGUUUGUUUCUUUUGAGAGGAAACAGAUUUGAAAUCCAACAUAAAGAAGAAGAAGAGUAGACGCAAACUGGUUAUGGAGACUGCUACUUGAUGAUGUUUAUGACUGUGGUGUGAAAUCCACUUUCUCAGCAUCUGAAGGUGGUAGUGAUAUAUAGACAUACCACACAUAGAGAAAGAAGAUACGUUUGGUGUGUGUGUCUAGGCUCAACCUUUUUUAUACAAAAUGAACAUGCCUAGCUAGAUCAAAAUAAAGGGAUCAUCAAACUUACAAAGCUUCUGGUUCGGCUAGUCCAGUGAACAACGAGGUUAGUCAUAUUACCAAUCAGGUAAGCCGUCAAGCCGAGGUUGAACAUCAUGAAGAAAAUGUCAAAGAUCAUUUCUCUUGGAUUCUCAGGAUGCAAAUCUCCAUAUCCAGUGGUCGUCAACGUCGUAAUAGACCAGUAAAGAGCAGUCACAUAUCUAUUCCAGAGACUUGUUUCCUUGAAAUCUGGAUAAACAGCUCCAAUCCAUGUCUUUCUUGGAUUGGGAUAUCUAUCUGCGAUCAGGUAGUUGAAACAUCCAGCACAAUGUACAGCAAACAAAGUGACCUGAGAUUUAUAAAAAAUUCAAGUUAUAAAUUAAUAAAAUAGAAAAUCUAUAUUAUUAAUUUAACUAUAUAUUACUAAUAUGGAGGAAAACUAAUUGGCUCAAAUUAGAAUGUGAAAAUUUAUUUAUUUAUCAUAUAUUAAUAUGUAGAGUUUAUUAUAAAUAAAUAAAUAAAAAGCUUUUUGCUCUGUUUUGAGACUAACCGAAAUGAGUUUUGUGCACCGUAUCCAGAAAUAGUUGAAACGGAUAUCUUUCUCAAGCCUGAAGCAAAAAGAAAGAGUUAGAGAAAUGCGAUAAAUACUUUUAUAAUAUGGUCUUAAGCAUUGCAAUAAUUAAACCUUGCGAACAGCGAGCUAACCCGUCUGAGCCUCCAUAACCUGAGCAUGCUAAGAAUUCUAAAUCCUAACUCGCUUCCAUUAUAGUGAAACAGGAGGCUCAAUGGCUGAAAUGGUGCUGUAGAACACACAUCGAAGGCGAACCAAGUAGAGAGGUACCUGAAAAUGUUCACAUUUUCAUGAAUAUGAUUCACUUGUACAAAGGUUUCAAACUAAUUUUAUUUCUAACCUUAUUGUUAUUUUCUUAGGGUUGUCAACUAGAAGAUAGGAGUGGCUAUCGAGAUAGGCGACGAAGAAGGUGAGGACAAUAUCAAUGGCGAAGAAGCCGUUAACAAUAUUGUCUAUGAUGAAAAGGGCGUCUUUCUUGUAGGUGAUGAAGGCAAAUUCAAAAGGACAAAUCCAAGCUGAGUAAAUGACUAGAAAGACUAACCACAUCUCCCAUGCUCUGUUCCAACAUAAACCAGAGGAUUGAGAGAAACAGAACAUAAUCUGGUUAAGUUAAAAUUUACAUAAAACAUAGAUUGGAGAUUAUGAGAAAAUUACCUAUAUUUUGGAUUAAAAGGAGAGAUUAUGUGUUUACGUAGCUUAGUUGAUUGGUUAAUUCUAGCUCCAAGAGAUGGCAAAAGAUCUGCGGAGAGGAAGCUACUCUGUUUUAUGGUAUCAAUAUUGUAUUCCUCAACGCAGAAUCUUUCAAAGAUGUUUUUGGUGCAAGAGAUGGACAUCUUGGUUGAUGUUUUUGAUAAGAAAAAUGUUAUGUGAAAGGUUUUUUCUAGCAGGUUUGGGGAUUUCUUCUUGGCAAGGUAGUUAUAUAUAUAGUGAUGAAGCUAUAUAGGACCUUUAUAGCACAACUUGCUCCAACCCAAUUGCUUAUCUUUUUUUCUUAGAGAA
rnacentral:lncRNA from 1 species